rnacentral:rRNA from 1 species
AGUCACUGACAUUAGAUACCCGGGUAGUCCAGGGUGUAAACGCUGCAGACUUGGUGUUGGAGGCCCUUUGGGGGCAUUCAGUGCCGGAGAGAAGUUGUUAAGUCUGCUACUUGGGGAGUACGUCCGCAAGGAUGAAACUUAAAGGAAUUGGGCGGGGGAGCACCGCAACGGGAGGAGCGUGCGGUUUAAUUGGAUUCAACACCGUAAAACUCACCAGGGAAGACUGUUACAUGAAGGCCGAGAUGAAGACUCUGCUAGAUUUUCAG